ensembl:lncRNA
AAACCAGGAAACGUGGGGUUUUUAGUUCAAACAGUAUCUGAAGGAAGCUGGUAAGCAACAGCUGAGAAGAUGAAAGAUCAAAUCAACGCCUCCCUUUGAAGUAAAGACUACUCAGGCUGUGGCUUGCUGGGAAAGAAUCCAUCUACAAUGCAGGAGACACAGGUUCUAUCCCUGGGUUGGGAAGAUACCCUGGAAGAGGAAAUGGCAACCCACUGCAGUAUUCUUGCCUGGGAAAUUUCAUGGACAGGGGAACCUGGUGGGCUACAGUCCAUGGAGUCACAAAGUCAGACACUGACCAGAAGGAACCUUGUGCUCUGACUGCUUCCCUUGUUAGCUCCUGUCUGAGAAGCAGCUGGAACCAUGUAAGAGGAAGAUGUUAACUGAUUCCAAGGCAGGACUAGGUACCACAGUUUUGCUCUUUCAAAGAUGAUGAACCAGGGAGUGCUGAGUUUCCAUGUGAAUUCCAUCCUUGUGCAGGCAAGUGGGAGAGCUGGGAUGCAAACCUGAGUCUGUAAAGCCCAUGGUGAAACUGUUGUUUUUAAGUCACAUGUACACAUUUUACAUAUUAAUUUAAGUGUUAAUUUUCUUACUGAGUGCUGCUUGCUUAGGAC